CCCCCGAUCCAGAUCCCCUCCACUACCGGCCUCCUUCCACCUCCUCUCCUCUCCCAACCUGUACUAGCACACAGAGGGAUAGGAGCCUACUCCCGCACCCCCGCCACCGCGCACCACUUCCACGACCUCGCCUCCCCCAUCCCGUCCCACCUCGGAGAGAGAGAGAGGGGAAACGCCAUGGUGGAGGAGAAGGAGUCGACGUCGGUCUCGCUCAGCCAGGCGGCAGAGGCCGUCGACCUCGAGGACCCGGCCAAGUCAUCGCCGCGGCAACCCCACCGUCGAGGCUUGCUUUUAGUUCAGCGAUUGCCAGGGGAUGCAAUAUCUGGCCUCCAUUGCACGAAAAGGUAAUAAGCUGAGAACUCAUAAUAUUUGCUGGCACCAGUCACUGAAACAUCAAGUUUUCCGUAUUUUGUAGCUCUUUUUGUUAGAUCCAAUUAUGUAUUUGGCUCCCCAAUGUUAGUAUCCUAUGCACAAUCCUUGGUAUUUUGAGAAAAUCACAAAAGGAACAAUGCUCCAAAUUGAGCAUAUUAUAGAGUCAUACAUUCAGUUUUACUUAUCAGAAUGAUGUGCUUUAUUAUUUUAGUGAUAUGCACGAUCCACCUAUAGAAGUGUCUACCAUUGCUGCUAUAAAGAGUAUCGUAUAUAAUAUUCAACAAAUUUAUAUGUACAUUGUGUCUUUCUGACAUCUCCGUCAAUUUUACAAUGGGGUCAAAUUCGCCAGUAGUUUAUGUUUACAUAUUAUUGUCAUUUCGAACCAUUAAAAAAUUAUUUGAGAUACCUAACACUGAUGAUCAUGCUGUUUAAACAAAUAUAUUUUGCUGAAAUUGUUUGAGAGCAUCGUGUUGUGGUAGAACUUUGUGCUUCAUCAGUCAUACAAAGAGCAUGGGAAAAGCUGAUGCAGGUAGUGUCAUUAUAAACAUGAUACUUCCCAUGGAGUUCCUCUCCUCUUAACUUCUUAGGAUCAAAUUGGUUACCUAUAACUAUUUACCUAUAACCCAGGUACCUACAAACUCCCCUCUGUUAUGUUUUAUACCAACUCUGUUUUUCUGCUAGUCAAAUAGACCGUAAUACUAAUACCAUUAUGUAGCUAGAUAGAUCAUUGUUGGUUCUGAUGCUUAUUUAUUGACACACCAAGUGUUGUUACUGCUGAUGAUUACUAGUACAAUGGCAAUAAUACAUCUUCAACCAAGAGUUAAAUUGAAAUGACCUGACUGUAAUACAUCUGCUAUUGUUGAUGCCUUCUUGCUAUCUUGCGAAUGACCUGGGAAUUAUUUCUACUUGGUGCACAACCUUUGCUUGUUGCAAUUUGCCUCAAAAGCUUGUAUUCAGAAUCUAUAAUAAGAUUUCGUACUGCCUUGGAAUUCUUUAUCUCCUUUCACUUGUUGUCAUGCCUAGAACUGUAUCCUUCUUAAGUUGGGUUUUCCCCAAUUUCUAUGAUUGGUCUGUUUGGUACUGCUUGUAAUUCAUAUAUACUAUGCUGCUGCUAUAUGCUUUUGUUUAUGCUAUUGUUACUUAGUGCUCUGCUCUAGGCUGUUUGUGAGUUCCUAGUAGUGGUCUUGGUUCAUUGUUUAAUUCCAGAAUUUGUGAGUUCCUAGUAGGGAACACAUGGACUUGACGCUACGGCGGCGGCGACAACGAUGAUAUCGACAUGGGGCUGCGGCGAUGACGACGACGACAUCGACAUCGACACGGGGCUGCGGCGGCGACGAUGACGACGACAUCGACAUGGGGCCGCGGCGGUGACGGUGACGACGACAUCCUCACCCUACUGCAGCGGCGGCGAUGACGAUGACAUCAACACCAUCAAACACGGGCUUGUGGAGGCGCUGAUGCCGACGACCUAUAGGCAUGGCGUAUAUUGUGCAUAUAUAUUUAUUAAUUAUCUAUAUCAGAUAUGUAUGAUUGACUGUAUGUAUAAAAUGUAUGUACUAUGAAAUGCAUGUAUGUGAGUAGUUUGAAAUGCAUGUCUAAACUGGAAUAGGUAGAUUUUUA